UUAGUGUAUAUGAUGGUGUGUGUGCUGUGUGUAGGUGGUGUAUUAGUGUAUAUGAUGGUGUGUGUGUGCUGUGUGUAGGUGGUGUAUUAGUGUAUAUGAUGGUGUGUGUGUGCUGUGUGUAGGUGGUGUAUUAGUGUAUAUGAUGGUGUGUGUGCUGUGUGUAGGUGGUGUAUUAGUGUAUAUGAUGGUGUGUGUGCUGUGUGUAGGUGGUGUAUUAGUGUAUAUGAUGGUGUGUGUGUGCUGUGUGUAGGUGGUGUAUUAGUGUAUAUGAUGGUGUGUGUGUGCUGUGUGUAGGUGGUGUAUUAGUGUAUAUGAUGGUGUGUGUGCUGUGUGUAGGUGGUGUAUUAGUG